rnacentral:rRNA from 1 species
AGAGUUUGAUCAUGGCUCAGAUUGAACGCUGGCGGCAGGCCUAACACAUGCAAGUCGAGCGGUAGCACAGAGAGCUUGCUCUCGGGUGACGAGCGGCGGACGGGUGAGUAAUGUCUGGGAAACUGCCUGAUGGAGGGGGAUAACUACUGGAAACGGUAGCUAAUACCGCAUAACGUCGCAAGACCAAAGUGGGGGACCUUCGGGCCUCAUGCCAUCAGAUGUGCCCAGAUGGGAUUAGCUAGUAGGUGGGGUAACGGCUCACCUAGGCGACGAUCCCUAGCUGGUCUGAGAGGAUGACCAGCCACACUGGAACUGAGACACGGUCCAGACUCCUACGGGAGGCAGCAGUGGGGAAUAUUGCACAAUGGGCGCAAGCCUGAUGCAGCCAUGCCGCGUGUGUGAAGAAGGCCUUCGGGUUGUAAAGCACUUUCAGCGGGGAGGAAGGCGAUAAGGUUAAUAACCUUGUCGAUUGACGUUACCCGCAGAAGAAGCACCGGCUAACUCCGUGCCAGCAGCCGCGGUAAUACGGAGGGUGCAAGCGUUAAUCGGAAUUACUGGGCGUAAAGCGCACGCAGGCGGUCUGUCAAGUCGGAUGUGAAAUCCCCGGGCUUAACCUGGGAACUGCAUUCGAAACUGGCAGGCUAGAGUCUUGUAGAGGGGGGUAGAAUUCCAGGUGUAGCGGUGAAAUGCGUAGAGAUCUGGAGGAAUACCGGUGGCGAAGGCGGCCCCCUGGACAAAGACUGACGCUCAGGUGCGAAAGCGUGGGGAGCAAACAGGAUUAGAUACCCUGGUAGUCCACGCCGUAAACGAUGUCGAUUUGGAGGUUGUGCCCUUGAGGCGUGGCUUCCGGAGCUAACGCGUUAAAUCGACCGCCUGGGGAGUACGGCCGCAAGGUUAAAACUCAAAUGAAUUGACGGGGGCCCGCACAAGCGGUGGAGCAUGUGGUUUAAUUCGAUGCAACGCGAAGAACCUUACCUGGUCUUGACAUCCACAGAACUUAGCAGAGAUGCUUUGGUGCCUUCGGGAACUGUGAGACAGGUGCUGCAUGGCUGUCGUCAGCUCGUGUUGUGAAAUGUUGGGUUAAGUCCCGCAACGAGCGCAACCCUUAUCCUUUGUUGCCAGCGGUCCGGCCGGGAACUCAAAGGAGACUGCCAGUGAUAAACUGGAGGAAGGUGGGGAUGACGUCAAGUCAUCAUGGCCCUUACGACCAGGGCUACACACGUGCUACAAUGGCAUAUACAAAGAGAAGCGACCUCGCGAGAGCAAGCGGACCUCAUAAAGUAUGUCGUAGUCCGGAUUGGAGUCUGCAACUCGACUCCAUGAAGUCGGAAUCGCUAGUAAUCGUAGAUCAGAAUGCUACGGUGAAUACGUUCCCGGGCCUUGUACACACCGCCCGUCACACCAUGGGAGUGGGUUGCAAAAGAAGUAGGUAGCUUAACCUUCGGGAGGGCGCUUACCACUUUGUGAUUCAUGACUGGGGUGAAGUCGUAACAAGGUAACCGUAGGGGAACCUGCGGUUG